GAAUGGAGCAAGAGUGAACCAGGCAGGCAGAUGGGAUGCUGCCAGGUCAUGAGACUGAUCACAAUGGUGUCAGGUGAUCUCAAACGGGGUGGCAUAACUUGGGCAAAGGCCAAUGCUCUAGGUGUGGGCUGCACAGAGGUAGAGGUUGUCCAGUAAUUUUCCACCUUGGGGAGGGCAACAAGGGUUCAUAGGACAAAGAAUGGGGAAUAAGGGAAAACUAGGGUCAAGGAAGGGGGAGGGGCUGGAGGAAUGUCUGCAUAAAUUGAGAAUGUAUCCCAUGAAUUAGAACAACACAAGAGCUCCUGAGAGGCCAGGGAGGUUCCCCAAUGAACUUCUCUGGUGUUGGCACAAACGCGAGGGAAAAAAGCACACUGUGGACAACACGGAAGGUGAACACUUGGAUUUUUCGAUAGGAUUUCAUACUAGGAAAGGACAGCCAUCUUCGGAAGCAUGAGGAUAUCUAGAAGAAUGCAAUUGUUUCCAUUCUGGGCUCAGAAUGGAAAGGAUCCCAAAGAAAUCUUUAUUUUCCACCAUGUUUCCUACAUGGUUAUAAAGGACAGAAUCUGUGUAUACACCGCCGACCUUGGAAAGUAUGUAUUUUCCCAUCCGAAUUCAGUUUCAAAACACGGACCAAUGCAGUGUUUCAUACAGAUUCUGACUGGAAUAAGCUCAGGGGGAAAAGGCCUGGAAAGCACAUGGCAAAGAAACUCUGAGAGUCCAGAGUAUGAUUUAAAAACAAAACACAUGGGACGUGUCGUCUUUGUGUACCCGUGUAAAUAAUUAUGAUGGUUGAACUCUGCUUAUUUUUCAUCCAACCUAAGUAACAGCUUUGAAAAAGAAAGAUAACAGUGACCUGUGUGUAUGGGAGUCCAGAGGGACAGUCUGUGACAGAGCUCACAGGGUUCCCAGGAAGACCAAGAACAUGGUCCAACUGAUCUUUCUCUGACAAGACAGGGCUGGGCAGAGGAAGGCGUAAAGAAUGAUUGCACUUGUACAUCGGAAGGUCAGCACACGAGAUCAGAGAGCAAGUCUGUUAUUUCAAAAAUAUAGCCUUCGAAUCCCCAGAGGGUCCAACUGAAGACAAGACAGAGGUUUUGGCUUCGGGUCCAGGGUGAUGUUUCACAGAAAGUCAACUCUUGUUCCAGAUCUUGAAAGGGAAUAUGAUUCCACAGCAUAACACAUCUGCUAAAAGAAAUGGCUCAGGUUUUGUGCCUAAGCUGGAUGCUGAGUGGAGGGUCCUGAGAAUAGAUGGGAGUUUAGCCUGGCUACUUCAAAUUUCCCUGCUAAUCUUCAAAUCUGACGAUUCUUUGAUUUGCAUAUGUGUCCUUCCAGAAAAGCCAAGAUAAAUCUUCUCAAAAUCCCCAACAGAGAAUAGAAGUAAAGUGACAUGAUUUUUUUUUCUCAUUUUCAUUUUCCUUCUAGAAAACUAAUCCCUCCCAUGUUUUUCUCCUCCAUUCAAUUAGUUGGUAGAGAAUCCCAUUUCCACCGAGUGCUAGAACACAUUUAACCAUUGUGAAACACUUAACACAAACCACAUGGCCAUAAGUUUUCAUGACUCCCCACUACACAAAUAGUUCCAUUUUUAGAAAAAUCAAAAUUCUCUCUGCUGCCUCUUGCUCUCCUUCUCUCCAUUGUUUCUGUUUGACCAGCUCGGCAGUACUCUCCCAUCCUGCCCUCUUGCUGUCUGAGCCCGUGGCACCUGCCAAUAAAAGUGAUGACAGACUUUAAUGUUCACGCAGGUUUCCAACAACAGAGUUCACUUCAUAAUCACCAGAGUUCAGCUGGUAAGCCUGAUCUGAGUGACAUCGGAUUUUUUACCUGAGAUGUUACACUGUGCGCUUUCAUUUCUACAGGUUAUGAACCACUUUGAAAGUGAAUUUUUUAGCUUGCUAGGGGCAAUGACCUAUGAGCCUGCAGACAAAUCCCAACUGAUUGGGUAAAGCCCAAACCCUUGUUAUAGUGCUUGAGUUUGCUUGGAAAAUUGGCUGCCACGUAUGAGUCACAGACACAGGGUCGACCUCUGGGAGACACUGUGUGUGUGUGUGUGUGUGUGUGUGUG